rnacentral:rRNA from 1 species
GAACGCUGGCGGCAGGCCUAACACAUGCAAGUCGAGCGGUAACAGGAAUUAGCUUGCUAAUUCGCUGACGAGCGGCGGACGGGUGAGUAAUGCCUGGGAAUAUGCCUUAGUGUGGGGGAUAACUAUUGGAAACGAUAGCUAAUACCGCAUAACGUCUUCGGACCAAAGAGGGGGACCUUCGGGCCUCUCGCGCUAAGAUUAGCCCAGGUGGGAUUAGCUAGUUGGUGAGGUAAAGGCUCACCAAGGCAACGAUCCCUAGCUGGUCUGAGAGGAUGAUCAGCCACACUGGAACUGAGACACGGUCCAGACUCCUACGGGAGGCAGCAGUGGGGAAUAUUGCACAAUGGGGGAAACCCUGAUGCAGCCAUGCCGCGUGUAUGAAGAAGGCCUUCGGGUUGUAAAGUACUUUCAGUCGUGAGGAAGGCAUUGUAGUUAAUAGCUGCAGUGCUUGACGUUAGCGACAGAAGAAGCACCGGCUAACUCCGUG